AUGGAAGGGACUUGUGCAGAUUACGGGGGUUCCAUUAUUACUGAACAUUUUUUACAUUCGUCGAGGGGCACCGUGAUGCUCAGUCCCACACCCUCCACAUGGUGUGCUUCCAGCCCCAGCAGGCAACAGGGUCCCAAAGGUCCAACACUGUGCAAGAGCGGGCUUGUUCAGGCUACCCCAGGUCGGCAUACUGAAACAUGUCGUGUUUGCCAGGCAAAGGUGGCUGAGGAACAUGUCGUGGUCUGUCGUGUUUGCCAGGCAAAGGUGGCGGAGGAACAUGUCGUGGUCCAAAGCUCUCGUGCCGGCGGUUGA
rnacentral:rRNA from 1 species